rnacentral:rRNA from 1 species
AUUGAACGCUAGCGGCAUGCCUAACACAUGCAAGUCGAACGGCAGCACGGGGAGCUUGCUCCCUGGUGGCGAGUGGCGGACGGGUGCGUAACGCGUGGGAAUCUACCUCAUAGCGGGGGACAACCCGGGGAAACUCGGGCUAAUACCGCAUAAUCUCUUCGGAGCAAAGCUGGGGACCGUAAGGCCCAGCACUAUGAGAUGAGCCUGCGUUGGAUUAGCUAGUUGGUGGGGUAAAGGCCUACCAAGGCAACGAUCCAUAGCUGGUCUGAGAGGACGACCAGCCAGACUGGGACUGAGACACGGCCCAGACUCCUACGGGAGGCAGCAGUGUGGAAUAUUGGACAAUUGGCGAAAGCCUGAUCCAGCAAUGCCGCGUGUGUGAAGAAGGCCUUCUGGUUGUAAAGCACUUUCGUUGGGGAAGAAAAAGCCAAAGAUAAUACCUUUGGAAAUUGACGUUACCCAAAGAAGAAGCACUGGCUAACUCUGUGCCAGCCGCCGCCGUAAGAC